GACGAACGCUGGCGGCGUGCCUAAUACAUGCAAGUAGGACGCAGUUGCGAACGGGUGAGUAACGCGUAGGUAAAUGCCUAUUAGAGGGGGAUAACUAUUGGAAACGAUAGCUAAUACCGCAUACUCGUAGAUGGACCUGCGUUGUAUUAGCUAGUAGGUUGGGUAUUGGCAUACCUAGGCGACGAUACAUAGCCGACCUGUGAGGGUGAGAGGACACACUGGGACUGAGACACGGCCCAGACUCCUACCGGAGGCAGCAGGAGGGAAUCUUCGGCAAUGGGGGGAACCCUGACCGAGCAACGCCGCGUGAGUGAAGAAGGUUUUCGGAUCGUAAAGCUCUGUUGUUAAGGAAGCGGUACUUAACCAGAAAGGGACGGCUAACUACGUGCCAGCAGCCGCGGUAAUUC
rnacentral:rRNA from 1 species